rnacentral:rRNA from 6 species
CCCUGGUAGUCCACGCCGUAAACGAUGUCGACUUGGAGGUUGUGCCCUUGAGGCGUGGCUUCCGGAGCUAACGCGUUAAGUCGACCGCCUGGGGAGUACGGCCGCAAGGUUAAAACUCAAAUGAAUUGACGGGGGCCCGCACAAGCGGUGGAGCAUGUGGUUUAAUUCGAUGCAACGCGAAGAACCUUACCUGGUCUUGACAUCCACAGAACUUUCCAGAGAUGGAUUGGUGCCUUCGGGAACUGUGAGACAGGUGCUGCAUGGCUGUCGUCAGCUCGUGUUGUGAAAUGUUGGGUUAAGUCCCGCAACGAGCGCAACCCUUAUCCUUUGUUGCCAGCGGUCCGGCCGGGAACUCAAAGGAGACUGCCAGUGAUAAACUGGAGGAAGGUGGGGAUGACGUCAAGUCAUCAUGGCCCUUACGACCAGGGCUACACACGUGCUACAAUGGCGCAUACAAAGAGAAGCGACCUCGCGAGAGCAAGCGGACCUCAUAAAGUGCGUCGUAGUCCGGAUUGGAGUCUGCAACUCGACUCCAUGAAGUCGGAAUCGCUAGUAAUCGUGGAUCAGAAUGCCACGGUGAAUACGUUCCCGGGCCUUGUACACACCGCCCGUCACACCAUGGGAGUGGGUUGCAAAAGAAGUAGGUAGCUUAACCUUCGGGAGGGCGCUUACCACUUUGUGAUUCAUGACUGGGGUGAAGUCGUAACAAGGUAACCGUAGGGGAACCUGCGGUUG